rnacentral:rRNA from 1 species
UAGGGAAUCUUCGGCAAUGGACGAAAGUCUGACCGAGCAACGCCGCGUGAGUGAAGAAGGUUUUCGGAUCGUAAAACUCUGUUGUUAGAGAAGAACAAGGAUGAGAGUAACUGUUCAUCCCUUGACGGUAUCUAACCAGAAAGGAACGGCUAAAUACGUGCCAG